rnacentral:rRNA from 6 species
AAAUUGAAGAGUUUGAUCAUGGCUCAGAUUGAACGCUGGCGGCAGGCCUAACACAUGCAAGUCGAACGGUAACAGGAAGCAGCUUGCUGCUUUGCUGACGAGUGGCGGACGGGUGAGUAAUGUCUGGGAAACUGCCUGAUGGAGGGGGAUAACUACUGGAAACGGUGGCUAAUACCGCAUAACGUCGCAAGACCAAAGAGGGGGACCUUCGGGCCUCUUGCCAUCAGAUGUGCCCAGAUGGGAUUAGCUUGUUGGUGAGGUAACGGCUCACCAAGGCGACGAUCCCUAGCUGGUCUGAGAGGAUGACCAGCCACACUGGAACUGAGACACGGUCCAGACUCCUACGGGAGGCAGCAGUGGGGAAUAUUGCACAAUGGGCGCAAGCCUGAUGCAGCCAUGCCGCGUGUAUGAAGAAGGCCUUCGGGUUGUAAAGUACUUUCAGCGGGGAGGAAGGUGUUGUGGUUAAUAACCACAGCAAUUGACGUUACCCGCAGAAGAAGCACCGGCUAACUCCGUGCCAGCAGCCGCGGUAAUACGGAGGGUGCAAGCGUUAAUCGGAAUUACUGGGCGUAAAGCGCACGCAGGCGGUCUGUCAAGUCGGAUGUGAAAUCCCCGGGCUCAACCUGGGAACUGCAUUCGAAACUGGCAGGCUUGAGUCUUGUAGAGGGGGGUAGAAUUCCAGGUGUAGCGGUGAAAUGCGUAGAGAUCUGGAGGAAUACCGGUGGCGAAGGCGGCCCCCUGGACAAAGACUGACGCUCAGGUGCGAAAGCGUGGGGAGCAAACAGGAUUAGAUACCCUGGUAGUCCACGCCGUAAACGAUGUCUACUUGGAGGUUGUGCCCUUGAGGCGUGGCUUCCGGAGCUAACGCGUUAAGUAGACCGCCUGGGGAGUACGGCCGCAAGGUUAAAACUCAAAUGAAUUGACGGGGGCCCGCACAAGCGGUGGAGCAUGUGGUUUAAUUCGAUGCAACGCGAAGAACCUUACCUGGUCUUGACAUCCACAGAACUUUCCAGAGAUGGACUGGUGCCUUCGGGAACUGUGAGACAGGUGCUGCAUGGCUGUCGUCAGCUCGUGUUGUGAAAUGUUGGGUUAAGUCCCGCAACGAGCGCAACCCUUAUCCUUUGUUGCCAGCGGUCCGGCCGGGAACUCAAAGGAGACUGCCAGUGAUAAACUGGAGGAAGGUGGGGAUGACGUCAAGUCAUCAUGGCCCUUACGACCAGGGCUACACACGUGCUACAAUGGCGCAUACAAAGAGAAGCGACCUCGCGAGAGCAAGCGGACCUCAUAAAGUGCGUCGUAGUCCGGAUUGGAGUCUGCAACUCGACUCCAUGAAGUCGGAAUCGCUAGUAAUCGUGGAUCAGAAUGCCACGGUGAAUACGUUCCCGGGCCUUGUACACACCGCCCGUCACACCAUGGGAGUGGGUUGCAAAAGAAGUAGGUAGCUUAACCUUCGGGAGGGCGCUUACCACUUUGUGAUUCAUGACUGGGGUGAAGUCGUAACAAGGUAACCGUAGGGGAACCUGCGGUUGGAUCACCUCCUUACCUUAAAGAAGC